AUCAACCUGAACCGGUUUGAAUGUGGGUGGCUCAACUCAAAUUUGACUAUAAAAAGGACACAUCAUCCAGGGUCAGCCAUUGCAUUACAGGAACCAAGACAGAUUCGGCUGUGAUUCCCACAAAAAGGUAGAACCGUCUUCAAACAGACAAAGAGUCCAUACCACCACAUGAAGUACAACUAAUAUACAGAACACUGGUUAAGCUUGGGACCGGAGACAACAAAGAUGGCACACAACAAGGGCUCAUCCCUGUCCAAUGCCCGUGGUCGUGAAAUUUAUAUUGGAAGUCAAAUCAGGGAUUCCAUUUCACUUCUGGAUGUUUUGUACGCAAAUGCAUUUGAAGAUGAGGACAUAGACUCGGCAGUAGCUAAGAAGACAGAGGUAGAUUUUUACAGAGGAGCCCCACCUCAAUGGCUUAACUUCUACUGGACUGAAAGGGCAACGUCAGCUGAUCAAACAACCCCCUUUAUCAAA